rnacentral:ncRNA from 2 species
CCGUCGCGCAUUGGGGAGUAGCCGCCCCGCGGCAUGUCCGCACCGCUGUCACCGGGUGCGUCGACGUGUGGUUCGCGGGGGCGCCUGUCAACAGACUUGGCCGUCAAGGCCAUGGCAGCCGCAGCCUCUGGCCUGGCGAGACCGAUGA